rnacentral:rRNA from 1 species
GGAACGAACGCUGGCGGCAGGCCUAAUACAUGCAAGUCGAACGCACUCUUCGGAGUGAGUGGCAGACGGGUGAGUAACGCGUGGGAACCUUCCUUGUAGUACGGAAUAACUCCGGGAAACCGGUGCUAAUACCGUAUACGCCCUCCGGGGGAAAGAUUUAUCGCUACAAGAUGGGCCCGCGUUGGAUUAGCUAGUUGGUAGGGUAAUGGCCUACCAAGGCUACGAUCCAUAGCU